UACGGAGGGAGCUAGCGUUGUCCGGAAUCAUUGGUCGUAAAGCGCUUGUAGGCGGUCCGGUAAGUCCGCUGUGAAAGUCGAGGGCUCAACCCUCGAAUGCCGGUGGAUACUGUCGGGCUAGAGUACGGAAGAGGCGAGUGGAAUUCCUGGUGUAGCGGUGAAAUGCGCAGAUAUCAGGAGGAACACCGAUGGCGAAGGCAGAUCUCUGGGCCGUAACUGACGCUGAGGAGCGAAAGCGUGGGGAGCGAACAGG
rnacentral:rRNA from 1 species